rnacentral:tRNA from 1 species
UCCCUUGUAGCUCAGUUGGUAAAGAGUCUGACUGCAAUGCAGGAGACCUGGGUUCAAUCCCUGGCUGAGGAA